GAUGAACGCUGGCGGCGUGCCUAAUACAUGCAAGUCGAGCGAACAGACGAGGAGCUUGCUCCUCUGACGUUAGCGGCGGACGGGUGAGUAACACGUGGAUAACCUACCUAUAAGACUGGGAUAACUUCGGGAAACCGGAGCUAAUACCGGAUAAUAUAUUGAACCGCAUGGUUCAAUAGUGAAAGACGGUUUUGCUGUCACUUAUAGAUGGAUCCGCGCCGCAUUAGCUAGUUGGUAAGGUAACGGCUUACCAAGGCAACGAUGCGUAGCCGACCUGAGAGGGUGAUCGGCCACACUGGAACUGAGACACGGUCCAGACUCCUACGGGAGGCAGCAGUAGGGAAUCUUCCGCAGAGGGCGAAAGCCUGACGGAGCAACGCCGCGUGAGUGAUGAGGGUCUUCGGAUCGUAAAACUCUGUUAUUAGGGAAGAACAAAUGUGUAAGUAACUAUGCACGUCUUGACGGUACCUAAUCAGAAAGCCACGGCUAACUACGUG
rnacentral:rRNA from 1 species